rnacentral:rRNA from 1 species
GUCCACGCUGUAAACGAUGGGCACUAGGUGUCCGGGGUAUUGACCCCCUGGGUGCCGCAGCUAACGCAUUAAGUGCCCCGCCUGGGGGAGUACGGUCGCAAGAUUAAAAACUCAAAAGGAAUUGACGGGGGCCCGCACAAGCGGUGGAGCAUGUGGUUCAAUUCGACGCAACGCGAAGAACCUUACCUGGGCUAGACAACAGUGGACCAUCCUAGAAAUAGGAUUUUCCCUUCGGGGACCGCUGGUUCAGGUGCUGCAUGGCUGUCGU